AGAAAAACCUCUCUAAAAACUUGAUCAUUCAAGAGGAAGAAGAAGAGAAAGGUCUGUUGGAGCUGAAGGCCAAGAUAGAAGUCGCCGUCUGAUUCGCUGGUGAAGGAGAAUCGGAUCACUCAAUCAAUUAGCUGCGUAGAAUCUCUAUGUCUUCAGGUCAAUCAAGUUGUAGGAAUGGUUCAAGAGGAGGGUGGCGGAGGCAUGGAGAACCGGAUCAUCAUAAUGGUUUUCUUUCUAUGGAAUCCGAGAAUGAUAAGCUGUACUCACACACAUCCUCAACAAACCCUCUAGAGUCUGAAUCGCCUUUUCUACCUACCCAUUAGUCUGAGGAUGAUAAGAUGUACUCAUGUGCACCUUAGUGCCCAACUCUGUCUAAAAUGCCGAAGUGAACUUCGAAUCUCUAUCUAA